UGACAUCUGUGAUUGUGAAAGAAGAUGAUGAUGCCAUUUUGCCCUGUUCCUCGGCACCAAUGAGAACAUUGAGUCAAUGGUGUUUGACUGGAAGAAGGAAGAAACAGUCCAGGUGUUCGUGUAUAAUAAGGGUGCCCAUUACAAUGAUCAAAAUGAGCAGUUCAAAAGUCGAGUCACACAUUUUCCAGAAGAGCUGAAGCACGGCAAUGCCUCCAUAAGAAUAAAAGAAACUAAGCGGGAGGACAAAGGAAACUACACCUGUUUUUUUCCAAACCGCAGUAAGACAUUCAAAGUUGAGCUUGUUGUUGAACCAUGGAAGAUUGUAGCUGUUGUUGCUAUUGUUCUUGCUGUUGUUCUUCCUGUUGUAGUUGGGAUUCUUGUCUGGUGUUACAUCAAGAAUAAAAAA
ensembl:lncRNA